GACGAACGCUGGCGGCGUGCUUAACACAUGCAAGUCGAACGGAAAGGCCCUGCUUUUGUGGUGUGCUCGAGUGGCGAACGGGUGUAUAACACGUGAGUAACCUGCCCUUGACUUUGGGAUAACUUCAGGAAACUGGGGCUAAUACCGGAUAGGAGCUCCUGCUGCUUGGUGGGGGUUGGAAAGUUUGGGCGGGUGGGGAUGGACUCGCGGCUUAUCAGCUUGUUGGGGGGGUACGGGCUUACCAAGGCUUUGACGGGUAGCCGGCCUGGGAGGGUGACCGGCCAAAUGGGGACUGGGAUACGGCCCAGACUCCUACGGGAGGCAGCAGUGGGGAAUAUUGCACAAUGGGCGGAAGCCGGAGGCAGCAACGCCGCGUGCGGGAUGACGGCCUUCGGGUGGUAAACCGCUUUCGCCUGUGACGAAGCGUGAGUGACGGUAAUGGGUAAAGAAGCACCGGCUAACUACGUG
rnacentral:rRNA from 1 species